rnacentral:rRNA from 1 species
GGGGCGAGCGUUGUUCGGAAUCAUUGGGCGUAAAGGGCGCGUAGGUGGUUUUGUAUGUCUACCGUGAAAGCGUACGGCUCAACCGUAUUUUGUCGGUAGAAACUGCAGGACUUGAGGCUGGGAGGGGCUGGCGGAAUUCCCUGUGUAGCGGUGAAAUGCGUAGAGAUGGGGGAGAACACUCGUGGCGAAGGCGGCCAGCUAGACCAGUUCUGACACUGAGGCGCGAUAGCGUGGGGAGCAAACAGG